CACCAGGGUUGAAAACCUGGGGGAUGAUCUGUGGGUAGGGGUGAAAGGCCAAUCAGACUCCGUGAUAGCUGGUUCUCCCCGAAAUGCAUUUAGGUGCAGCGUCGCGUGUUUCUUUCCGGAGGUAGAGCUACUGGAUGGCCGAGGGGCCCGACAAGGUUACCGAAGUCAGCCAAACUCCGAAUGCCGGGAAGGUCAGCGCGGCAGUGAGACUGCGGGGGAUAAGCUUCGUAGUCGAGAGGGAAACAGCCCAGAUCGCCGGUUAAGGCCCCUAAGCGUGUGCUCAGUGGUAAAGGAUGUGGAGUUGCACAGACAGCCAGGAGGUUGGCUUAGAAGCAGCCAUCCUUGAAAGAGUGCGUAAUAGCUCACUGGUCAAGUGAUUCCGCGCCGACAAUGUAGCGGGGCUCAAGCACACCGCCGAAGCCGUGGCACUCCCAUUUUCACGCGCCCUGUGAGGGGUGUGUGCCUCAGCCCGUUCCCGGGUUCGCCUCGGGGUGGGUUUAGGGGGUGGGGGUGGGUAGGGGAGCGUCCUGCAGCCGGGGAAGCCGCCGUGUGAGCGAGCGGUGGAGGCUGCGGGAGUGAGAAUGCAGGCAUGAGUAGCGAUUCGAGGGUGGGAAACCCUCGCGCCGGAUGACCAAGGGUUCCUGGGGCAGGCUGAUCCGCCCAGGGUAAGUCGGGGCCUAAGGCGAGGCCGAUGGGCGUAGUCGAUGGAUAACGGGUUGAUAUUCCCGUACCCGCUGGUAUGCGCCAACGCUGAAUCUCCGGAGACUAACCACACGAUCCGUGCGUGACCUUGCCUUCGGGUGGGGCGGGCGCGGGGGUUUGUGGGACCUGAUGGGGUAGUAGGUGAGUGAUGGGGUGACGCAGGAGGGUAGCUCAGCCCAGGCGAUGGUGGUCCUGGGGUAAGCAUGUAGCCCGCGUGACAGGCAAAUCCGUCGCGUAGCAGCUUCAGUGCUGCAGGGGUGAGGUGUGAUGCCGAGCCGUAGUGAGGCGAAGUGAGUGAUCCCAUGCUGCCGAGAAAAGCCUCUAGCGAGUGUGUCGGCGGCCCGUACCCUAAACCGACUCAGGUGGUCAGGUAGAGAAUACCAAGGCGUUCGGGUGAACUGUGGUUAAGGAACUCGGCAAAUUGCCUCCGUAACUUCGGGAUAAGGAGGGCCAUUCCUGGUGAACGCCCUUGCGGUGGGAGCUGGGGGUGGUCGCAGUGGCCAGGGGGUAGCGACUGUUUACUAAAAACACAGGUCCAUGCGAAGCCGUAAGGCGCUGUAUAUGGACUGACGCCUGCCCGGUGCCGGAACGUUAACAGGACCGCUCAACCCUCCUUUGGGGGGUGAAGGUGAGAAUGUAAGCGCCGGUAAACGGCGGUGGUAACUAUAACCAUCCUAAGGUAGCGAAAUUCCUUGUCGGGUAAGUUCCGACCUGCACGAAUGGCGUAACGACUUCCCCGCUGUCUCAACCACAGGCCCGGUGAAAUUGCAGUACGAGUAAAGAUGCUCGUUACGCGCAGCAGGACGGAAAGACCCCGGGACCUUCACUGCAGCUUGGCAUUGGCG
rnacentral:rRNA from 1 species